UAUAGGAUUGACUUUCUAUAACAUAUAACAAACAGUUUCAUUGCAAGCUAUCCUCCACAAGGAGUAUAAGCCACGUGCAAUGUGAAAACUGAGGACAAAAUUCUAUAUCCCAAGUAGAUAGAAGAAAAGAGAAAAAGAAAAACAGAAAGAGAGAGCAGGAAAAAAAAAAUACAAGAUUGAUGAAGCAAUGCAUAUUUGAGACACACAUUUAUUGUACCUCCUGCUCAUAG
rnacentral:misc_RNA from 1 species